GAGCUCGCCGAGGUCGAAAUGCCUGGUCUCAUGGCCUCCCGUGUCGAAUUCGGCCCGUCCCAGCCCUUCAAGGGUGCCCGGAUCACCGGAUCUCUCCACAUGACCAUCCAGACCGCCGUCCUCAUCGAAACCCUAACCGCUCUCGGAGCCGAGGUCCGCUGGUGCUCCUGCAACAUCUUCUCCACCCAGGACCACGCCGCCGCCGCCAUUGCUCGCGAUAGCGCCGCUGUUUUCGCCUGGAAGGGAGAGACUCUCCAGGAGUACUGGUGGUGCACUGAGCGCGCCUUGGACUGGGGCCCCGGCGGAGGCCCAGAUCUGAUCGUCGACGACGGUGGUGACACUACUCUCUUGAUCCAUGAGGGUGUUAAGGCCGAGGAGAUCUUUGAGAAGACCGGGCAGCUACCUGACCCGACUUCCACCGACAACGCGGAGUUCCAGAUCGUGCUCUCUAUUAUCAAGGAGGGGUUGAAGACCGACCCCAAGAGGUACCGCAAGAUGAAGGACAGGAUUGUCGGUGUCUCGGAGGAGACCACAACCGGAGUCAAGAGGCUGUACCAGAUGCAGAACAGCGGCUCAUUGUUGUUCCCUGCUAUCAAUGUCAAUGACUCUGUCACCAAGAGCAAGGUAUGCCUCUUAGAUCUGGGCUCGCAUUCUUUUUCUGUAUUCAGAUCUGUAAUGUUUUCGAUAUAAUUUGUUUGAUGAGUGUUACUUUUGUGUUGAUUAGAUCUGCAUAACUAUUUGAGUUCAUUUGAGUAGGUAGUAGAAAUGUGUGGCUUUGCUAUAUUAUUAGUAGGGUUUUAAUCAAUUUUAAUUUUUUUUUUACUUGUUCAUGCCUAAUUAUUGGAUAACUAAUACAAGGUGCCCUGUUUUUAUUGUAGAUUCAGUCUUGUGUACUUGUUUGCUUUUAAAUCAAAUAAUUGUAGAUAUUUUUGUUUUAUCUGCACAGUUUGACAACCUGUAUCGUCUCGUGUUUGUUUACAAGUAGUGGAUUGCAUAUAUAGUUUCAUUCAUCCUGAUUCCAAAAUUGCCCCGUUGAUGGAAUAUUGUUUUGUGCCCACGAGUUUGACAACUGGUAUUAUAUUGCAAUUCUUUAGGGUUAGGCUAUGCGUAUUUAUUUCACUGCCUGAUUGCAAAGUUUAGCUGUUGAAAUGACAUUUUGUUUUGUUUGUGCAUUACAGUUUGACAACUUGUAUGGUUGCCGUCACUCUCUCCCUGAUGGUUUGAUGAGAGCCACUGAUGUUAUGAUUGCCGGAAAGGUUUCUGUUGUCUGUGGAUAUGGUGAUGUUGGAAAGGGUUGUGCUGCUGCUCUCAAGCAAGCCGGAUCCCGUGUGAUCGUGACUGAGAUUGACCCAAUCUGUGCUCUUCAGGCUCUUAUGGAAGGCCUUCAGGUUCUUCCCAUUGAGGACGUCGUCUCUGAUGCUGAUAUCUUUGUCACCACCACCGGAAACAAGGACAUCAUCAUGCUUGAGCACAUGAGGAAGAUGAAGAACAAUGCCAUUGUUUGCAACAUUGGGCAUUUUGACAAUGAGAUCGACAUGCAUGGACUUGAGACAUUCCCAGGAGUGCAGCGUAUCACCAUCAAGCCUCAAACAGAUAGGUGGGUUUUCCCCGAUACCAAGACUGGUAUCAUUGUGUUGGCUGAGGGCCGUCUCAUGAACUUGGGUUGUGCCACUGGACACCCUAGCUUUGUGAUGUCCUGCUCUUUCACCAACCAAGUGAUUGCUCAGCUUGAGUUGUGGAAUGAGAGGAAGAGCGGCAAGUAUGAGAAGAAGGUCUAUGUCUUGCCUAAGCACCUUGAUGAGAAGGUUGCUGCUCUUCAUCUUGGAAAGCUCGGAGCCAAGCUCACCAAGCUCAGCAAGGAGCAGGCUGACUAUAUCAGCGUUCCAAUUGAGGGUCCAUACAAGCCUGCUCACUACAGGUACUGAAAGGCCUGCAGGAAGAAGAGAACUGAGAAGAACAUUAUACCUGGACGGGUUGAAUUUUUUUUCUUAUUAUUUUUUUGUUGGUUUCAUUUACGUUGCGAACGGAUUGUGCUAGAACUCUAGGUGCUUAAUUUUGUUAGUAGUUUUUGUGGUCGGGAAGGUAUGGUCGGGAAAGCUAUGGAUGAUUUGGUCUCACUUGAAGACCUGGGAUGCGGUUUGAAUAACGAUUGAAAGGUGGGAUGUGUGGGAUAUAUCUGGUGCAGUAUUUGUUUUGCUGCAUCUGAUUAUCCAUUUACUAGCACGAAAACGAGUUCUAGAAAAAGAAAAUGAACUAAAUUGCUUCAUUUUGAAAUUUUGUUCCCUUAAUAGUAGUUUCAUUUUGUUUCUUUAACACUCGACACUUACAAUACAGGGAUGUCUUGCCCAAAUGCUUGGAUUACUGAAAACAUAGUUUCAAUUUAGUAAUUGAAUUUGUUAUGCAGAGAGAUAUACCCACACUCAAAACAAUCAUGGGGUUCAUUCGUUGUUGGUGAGACUAAUAUAAGUGGGGAGUUGGUUUCUUUAGACUACGUUUUAAUCUAAUGGAUGUCUUUGUAUAAAUUGGCCAAUGAGAAGCUUAAUACGGUAGUAGUGGGUAGUUGGUCGGUCUAGUGGGUGAAAAAGCGACGUUUUUUCUUUGCUUUCCGACGAGACAAGAUCUGAUAUUUUCUAGUUUUGUAAAUGAUGAUGAGAUGUGGGCGUCGGCAAUGCACUAGAAAGACAGCGACGUUUUAUUCGGCCAAAACGUGCAAAUCACGGUGAUCUUCUAGGUUUUUAUUUUUAUUUUUAUAAGUACUUUGAAGACAAAAAGUUGAAGUACAUAUGGGGGAAGGAACAUAAUUCUCUUCAUCCUGUUUUGAAUGCUUAAGAAUUUUUGAAGGUAAUAGAUAACUCCAUUGGUAAUCAUCAUAAUGAUCUUACAAGAUCAAGCUUAGGGGCCAUAGACCACCUAUAAUCAUCCACUGCUUAAAAACUCGAUACUCACCAAAAGGGGGAAAAAAAAACCCAAAUAUCUCAAUGGAAAACAAAGUAAAUGAACUAAAUGGAAAAACAAAUCCACGACUCAAUAGAGGCAAAGACUCAACAUAAACAACUGACUCAAAACACAAAACUAACAUACUUUAACAAAACAUGAAAUCGAGAUCAAUCAACCAAAAGGUUUGGGGCCUAGAUACCUUUACAGUGUACCCUUCCGCCUCAAGAUCAAUGCAAGAUCCAACUCCAUGAGAUGUCAUUGUAAGUCUCAGUCUUCCUCCACCUCUGGGACCUCUGUAUCCUUGGGAGCAUCGAGCUUGGUCUUGUUAUGGCUUCCACGAGGACGAACUCGUUUCUUGGAUCCACUGCCGUCGGUCAGCUGCACUCCGGCCAAGCUCUUCUCCAACCCUACCUGUUUAGAACUCAAUGAGAAUGGCACCAUUGCAAGAGAAAACCUAGCCUUCUUCCCUACUUCGUCAUCUUCAUUCUCUUCACUAGAUCGACGCACUUUAGAAACCCUUGUGGUCGCAUCACUACUCUUCGACAAAAAUCACGAAUUGAUAUCGUCCCUUCUCUGGUUUCUUCAAAGGAGGGACUUGAAACAUCGACGAUCCAGAGGCCGAGGAAGUAGUCCGGAAAACCAUCUCCGACACCGUACUUGCAGUUGGUUGAGACACAUGAACCGUCUCUUCUUCCACUGUCCUAGGACAGCACAACCCGCCAUGAUCAAUCAUUGCACAAACCCUGCAUCUACCAAGAAGCCUUUCAUACAUUAAUUAGAGCUCGAUGACGUCAAGUGGAGAAACCCUAACACGCCGGCUCAGCCGCACCGAUUCAUUCAAAGGGAGAGAAACCCAAACCCUAGGGUUUUCAACACGUAACCCAUGUGGAUCAAGGCUCAAAACUGGUCCGAUGGUUUCGCCGAUGAGACCGACGGUGUCCUCAUUUAGCAAAGUCGGUGGCAGCCCCGAAACCUCCACCCAAAUCAAAAUAAAUUCCAGUGAAAGCGCCGCUAUAUCGGAGAAUCCAUCAUAAUGAUUGAGCAAGAGCAUAGAGCGCUGAAACGCCCAAGGUCCUCAUUUCAAAACACGAUUCAAGUCACGUUCAGUGGCGAAGGUGAAGAGGAACCUAUCACCCUGAGCCUAAACCUCCACCGAGACCGACAACGGCCACAUAGAGCGGAUGAUGCUUCUGAAAGCGUCGAACACCACCGGUAUGGAGCGCAAGAGGAUACCAUGUAUGAGAGGAGGACUAGAGGUGCAAAUGAUGAUCAAGAUGUUGCUUCUGUUACGCUAAGUUUUGAGUCUAUCAAUUUAGGUAGUGGAACUAAAACCUCAAAUGAAUCCCAAGAAGGCAAUAAUCAAUAUGACUAUAAUGUUUAAGGCUAUAAUCAAUGCACGAACGUUAGUGAUCAGUCAUCUAGUUGGAUUCAUCCUUAUUAUCCACUUAUAGAGGACAAAGUCGGCUGCUCCAAAGAGAUAAUCAUAUUCAACACUAUAAUUCAUAUUAUAUGAGUCAUAUGUCUUGGUCUGAUUAUUGUACUUUUAUGGACCAGCGUGUGUCUUAUCAACAACUUAGAUAUAUGAUUAUCAUAUUCAACACUAUAGUUCAUACUAUAUGAGUCAUAUGUCUUGGUUUGAUUAUUAUACUUUUAUGGACCGACGUGCGUCUUAUCAACAACUUAGAUUCUCAUUUUGGAUGUAGAUGAAGUUGAUGUUUGUAAUAUUUAUAUGUAAAUGCAAUAAAUUAAAUAUUUUAAGAAAAAAAAUUCUUUCCAAAAUCCAGAUAUUUUUUCCCUGAUAUUCCCUAUAUAUUUGAUAUCUCAUUUUUUUAAAGUACCGAUAGAUAUUUUAGUCUUUGAUUGUGAGAAACAUUUUUCAUAUUUUCUAAACUAGAAGAAUGAAAAAGUGAACACGUUAAAUUGAUGUUUUUAUUUUUUCUCUAUAAAAGUUGAAAAUAUAUUUAUUUUUCUCUAUAAAACUUUGAUCGUUGUAGUACAUGGUGUUGUAGAGGCUUCUUUUUGUAACUACCUUAACUCAUUAAAGAAAAAAAAAACUUAGCGCUUCAAGCAACUGAAAUGUAUUCUUGUGUUGAUUCAAACUUUAACCUUUGACGAUGGUUACAAGCCAAUUUUUGAAGUAUGUAAAUGGAAUUGGAGUUGAUACUAUAUUUCAUCUUGGUUGUCAUCAUCCAAAUCAUCAAAGAUUUAACAAUGGGGAAUACUUUCCUUCAUCAACAUAUAAUAUUUGUAGAAAGGGAUAUACUUUCUAGGCUGAUUGCCUCUGCAGCAUUCAAGACCGAACUAGUGAGCACUACAUGAGAUAUUCAAUGUAAGCAUAAGAAAGGGAAGCGGUUCUCACACGGAUUUCAUCAAACAGUGAUGAGUAACAAGGGUCCGGUUUAAGGGACACAAUUUCUAACACAAAUUUUGACACUUUUUUUAACCCUUGGAUCUUAGUUUAUCACAUGGUUGUUAUUGAUUGUGAACAUGAUUUGGCAAAUGACAUAGCAAUAAUAAUAUAUUUUCAAUCAAAACUAUAAAUUUUAAAUAUUUUUUUAUCGGAAUUAACAAUAUCUUUUAUAAAGAAAUUNNNNNNNNNNNNNNNNNNNNUUUCUUUCUUUAAAAGUAAUUUAGUUUAAAUAAAUUCACUAAUAAGUUUAACAAUAUAGCAAUCCCAAAAUGAUGAUGGCAGUGUAAUGCAUAUCAAAGAAAGAAAUUGAAAAAGAAAACAGAAAAAAAAACCAUAAAAAAAAAUUGAUGUAUAUGAGAAGAGAAAUAAUAAAAAAAUUAAAAUACAUGCAUGCGAAGAAUAAUUCAAAGAAGCAAGCAGGUUUCGAACCAGGGAAGUCCUCCAAUUUAACAUCCACCUCUGUCACUACAUCAACAACAAAUAAUGUUUUCUUUAAAGAACUUCUAUUUAUAUAGAGAAAUUUUAAAUACACACCCCUAAUCUCUUAAUACACAGCCUUUGCUUAAUACACCUCUCAUCUAGUUUUUCAUUUCGAUAUUAAACUUAAUACACAUCCCAAACUGCCUAUAAUACCCUUAUAUCUAAAAUUAAGAAAUAAUAUGUUAUUUAGU
rnacentral:lncRNA from 1 species